UACGAAGGGGGCUAGCGUUGUUCGGAAUUACUGGGCGUAAAGCGCACGUAGGCGGACUUGCCAGUCAGGGGUGAAAUCCCGAGGCUCAACCUCGGAACUGCCUCCGAUACAGCAAGUCUCGAGUCCGGAAGAGGUGAGUGGAAUUCCUAGUGUAGAGGUGAAAUUCGUAGAUAUUAGGAAGAACACCAGUGGCGAAGGCGGCUCACUGGUCCGGUACUGACGCUGAGGUGCGAAAGCGUGGGGAGCAAACAGG
rnacentral:rRNA from 1 species